rnacentral:lncRNA from 1 species
AAUGUGCUUAGAAAAGUUUCUGCAGUUUAACUAGUUUUGUAUUUUUGAUUUCGUGUUUCUAAUUUUUACUGCUUUGUGAAUAUUAAUUAAAAUCAUUCAUUCUUAUUACAAACAAAAAUUAGAAAAAGGCCAAAAGCGCUGGGUUAAAGACUAGAAGGCAUCCCUUUGUAUGUUAUGAGAAAUUGCCCCUUGAUAUUAACAUUUUUUUCUAACUAGAAAAACCAUCAGAAUCAUAGAGAAAAUAUACACUCAUUUAGAUGUAAAAAUCAACCGUUAUUUUCAUGCAGUUGAGUUUCUGAGCUCUUUCUUCAGCAGUAAAAAAAAAUAAGACUCAUGAAAAGAGAGUAAACAUUAUAA